rnacentral:tRNA from 1 species
GCCCCCGUAGCUCAACUGGAUAGAGCAGCCGGCUUCUACCCGGCAGGUUCGAGGUUCGAGUCCUCGCGGGGGCAC